GAUGAACGCUGGCGGCGCGCCUAACACAUGCAAGUCGAACGAUUAACGCACCUUUGGGUGUGUAUAAAGAGUCGAACGCCUGUGUAACACGUGGGCAACCUGCCCCUUUCAUUCGGAUAGCCACGGUAAACAGUGGAUAAUACCGAAUACUUCUAGCCUUACGCCUGGAUCACCCGAGAAAGCUCCGGCGGGGGGGGAUGGGCCCGCGGCCUGUUAGCUUGUUGGUGGGGUAACGGCCUACCAAGGCAAUGAUGGGUAGCCGGGUUGAGAGACCGACCAGCCAGAUUGGGACUGAGACACGGCCCAGACUCCUACGGGAGGCAGCAGUGGGGAAUCUUGCACAAUGGGCGAAAGCCUGAUGCAGCGACGCCGCGUGCGGGAUGAAGGCCUUCGGGUUGUAAACCGCUUUCAGCAGGGACGAAGCGAAAGUGACGGUACCUGCAGAAGAAGCCCCGGCUAACUACGUG
rnacentral:rRNA from 1 species